CACAACAUUCCUUGGAAUCUUGGAUCGAUUAGUUCUGUGUUUUCUUUGAUUUAAUUUGGAGACAUAUAUUCUCGUAUCACUAACUCCGAGGCCACCAGAAAACAGGAGCUCUAUUUGAAGGAGGAGACAUGAUUUUGAUAUCAGAAUACAAACAAAUGUGAACCGCAAUUCGGACAGAUACCUACAAAGAAUGUUUGGUGCUUGUUUUGCUGAUGAUAAAUCAUAAAUGUAUCCGACUCCUGAUUCUCGGUGGACUCUGGCUGAAACUUUAAAGAUGACCACAAGCUGAGCUGUCAUGCAUGUCCCAGAUAGAUCCACAGAGUGUUUGACUGAUGGCAUCUUAUCUUCUAUGUGCCAGUUGUGAAGUUUGUUAAGCCUGUGAGUGGGUGACUUCAUCUGUUACCAAACUAGUAGUUUCUCUUAGAUAUAUAGUCUUUGAAUUGUAAUAGUUGUUUAAGCUGAAGACGAUUAGAAUGAUCUGAUAUUACUCUG